rnacentral:misc_RNA from 1 species
GAUGAAGAACGUAGCGAAAUGCGAUAAGUAGUGUGAAUUGCAGAAUUCAGUGAAUCAUCGAAUCUUUGAACGCACAUUGCGCCCUUUGGUAUUCCAAAGGGCAUGCCUGUUCGAGCGUCAUUUGUACCCUCAAGCUUUGCUUGGUGUUGGGCGUCUUGUCUCUAGCUUUGCUGGAGACUCGCCUUAAAGUAAUUGGCAGCCGGCCUACUGGUUUCGGAGCGCAGCACAAGUCGCACUCUCUAUCAGCAAAGGUCUAGCAUCCAUUAAGCCUUUUUUUCAACUUUUGACCUCGGACCAGGUAGGGAUACCCGCUGAACUUAAGCAUAUCAAUAAGCGGAGGA